rnacentral:lncRNA from 1 species
ACAAACAGGCUAGUAAGACACAAACAGGCUAGUAAGACACAAACAGGCUAGUAAGACUCAAACAGGCUAAUAAGACACAAACAGGCUAGUAAGACACAAAUAGGCUAACAAGACACAAACAGCCUAAUAAGACACAAACAGGCUAGUAAGACUCAAACAGGCUAAUAAGACACAAACAGGCUAGUAAGACACAAAUAGGCUAACAAGACACAAACAGCCUAAUAAGACACAAACAGGCUAGUAAGACUCAAACAGGCUAAUAAGACACAAACAGGCUAGUAAGACACAAAUAGGCUAACAAGACACAAACAGCCUAGUAAGACACAAACAUGCUAAUAAGACACAAAUAGGCUAAUAAGACACAAACAGGCUAGUAAGACACAAACAGGCUAGUAAGACACAAACAGGCUAGUAAGACACAAAUUGGCUAACAAGACACAAACAGCCUAGUAAGACACAAACAGGCUAGCAAUUCUGCCCCAAAAUGCAUUGGCUGAGGAAUAAUUUGUUGAAAUGGUAGACAUGAUUUACUGUAAAAAGCAUAAAAUAGAAUUGUGGUGAAGUCACACCAUUAAACAUCUCCAGACUUCAAAUGAUGAAGAAACAUUUUUAUUCAGUCAGUGCAGUGCAGUGGCCUUUUAUACUGUGGAGAAUCAACUGAUUUAUAUAUGCUGGGUUACUUACAGACCUCAAGUUUUUAUUUACACUGCGCUGGCAUUUAGUAUGGCCCCAGACUAGAAAACAAUGCAGCCAUUCAUAAGUCUAGACAACGAUUUCUAACAACUUAUCCUGGGACAAUGAAACGUGGUUAUUCACUGCUUUUCCAAAUGGUGUUCUCAAAUCUUCUUUCAGGCAAACGUAUAAUGAAUGACCUGGCAUUGUACACGGUCUUUUAAAAGGGUCGAGACAAGACACACUAGUUUUGUCUUACGGUGUGAGAAACUCGGCAAGAGACCCCUUUCAGCCACUGUGAGCCUAUUUAACAUUGAACUUGAAUAAACCUCUGUGCACUAUUGCCUACCACUGCAUACGCAUGCAGUUUAGACCUAUACAUCUUCCACAUAGGCCUAUGACCGUUCAGCUAAAAACAACGUAGGCCAGCAUUUGGGCACAAACAUACACUUUCAUAUUUUAGGCUACAGCUAAUCAAUCAAGCGCUAUAGGCUAUACAAUCAAAUCAAAUUGUAUUUGUCACAUGCUUUGCAAACAACAGGUGUAGACUAAGAGUGAAAUGCUUACAAUAGGCUAUAUCAUAGGACAUUACAAACUAUAUUUUUAAAAUAAACCUUAACUUCCAUUUGAAAAGGCCUAAUAGGUUACUAAGACUGUCCUAAAUAUACAACAGAUCUAUUCGAAAAAGAACAGUUCAUAAUUGAAUUAAAGGCACGUGUGUAGCCUACAGGAGACUCUCAUCACGCACGAACCUAACAAUAACCUCAUCCACAGACAACAGACCACUAACAUCCAUUAACAAAAAAAACAGCCGGCAUCAUACAACUGGCAUCAUAAAUGGAGGCUAUUCUCCAAUGUAGCCGAAAUAUGUAUUGUUGCAAAGCCAUAUUUUAGGAACAAUGUUUUUUACAACCCUAUUGUGUUGCCAACAAAGCCUUUAAUGUUUAUGGCAUUUGUAAAAUUCUAUCCAACUGUGUUACCAUCAAUAAAGAAACAAAACAUCUAUCCCGCCGGUCACCAUGUGCCUUAUGAAUGCCAUGUGGUCCCUGGAUAGUUAAUAAACAAAUCCACUGGCGACUAAUAUAAUGGCCUGUAUAGCUAAUAUCAUCCACCAUACAGAAUCAACAGCCCAGAAGCAAUCCCUGCACUUUUAGGCUAUUUCUUUCAGAUGCAAUUUAUUCGGAUGUAAAAUAUUAAUCACAAUUCAAAAAACGAAUAUAAAUGUGGGCUUUAGCUAGGCCUAACUCUGUGAAAAAAUCCUUUAUAUUAAUUAGGCAUUGUUUUAGAAAUAAAUUAAGAUUUUUUUAAAGUCCUGUUCAAAUUCAAAUACAGAGCGCACAUGACGUGAUGUCAUCUAUUCAAUUCGUUAGACUUCUGCCUAUUGCUUUCUCUGUGACAUGAAAAAUCAUGAGUCAAACAAUAGAUCAGUGUUAGAGCGCUCAAGUAGGCCCAUAUACUAUUCCGUAAUUAUAGAACAUCUUUGUAUGGAUGCAUAAACCCAUACAGUUUUAAGAUAAUGACCCACGGUCCUAAUUGUCAGUUGCCUACAAUUGGCAACGAAUUACGCAUUCAAAACCGUUACUACUCCAAGUUUGGAGGCCGCGUCCGCUGGGUGGGCAACAUCGCCUCUUUCUAUGGGGAUGCAGAUGAGUCUGGUGCACUUGAC